rnacentral:rRNA from 1 species
UACGUAGGUGGCAAGCGUUGUCCGGAUUUACUGGGCGUAAAGAGCGCGCAGGCGGCUGAUUAAGUCGAAUGUGAAAGCCCCCGGCUCAACUGGGGAGGGUCAUUCGAUACUGAUCAACUUGAAGGCAGGAGAGGGUAGUGGAAUUCCCGGUGUAGUGGUGGAAUGCGUAGAUAUCGGGAGGAACAUCAGUGGCGAAAGCGGCACCCUGGCAUUAGCCUGACGCUCAGGUGCGAAAGCGUGGGGAGCGAACGGG